AAAAAGCAAUUAUAGAUGCUAAAAUUGCCAAAGAACGGGGAUUGCUUGAUUUCCCUGAACCAAACUACCCCCAAGAAGAUGGAGGUGCACAAAUGCCAACGCAACCAGUUGAGGACAUACGUAAUGAUGACCCUAGCAUGAUGAACAUGUUGGAUCACACAAAACCAACAAGAUCACACGUGUAUGACAGAAUGCAGCAACAACCGCAGUUGUGGAAGGCCCAACAAAAUCCGACG